GGGUUGGUAGCUCAGUCGGUAGAGCACUGGACUUUUAAUCCAUUGGUCGUGGGUUCGAAUCCCACCCAACCCA
rnacentral:tRNA from 1 species